ACAAGUCACUCUGGAUUGGACAAUGAAGCCACUGAAGGCAGGGGUAUAUAAAUACAAGACAAGAAGGCAUUUUCUGUCUGAGAAAAGGUGUAAGAAGACAAUGUGCACUUGCUUUUCUCUUUGUGACGUGGUAAAUUCUGUCCCUCUCAAAACUGCUUGAGAUCUACAAGGCUGUGGGAGGGGGUGUGGGGUCAUCAAAGAUUUUUGCAUAAG
rnacentral:lncRNA from 1 species